rnacentral:rRNA from 1 species
AUUGAACGCUGGCGGCAGGCCUAACACAUGCAAGUCGAGCGGAGCGUCGGACGGGUGAGUACUGCCUAUGUGUCUGCCUGGUCGUGAUGGAUAACGUCCGGCACCGGGCGCUAAUACCUCAUAAUAUCAGCUGAGUGUAGGUCGGAUUAUCUAGUUGGUGGGGUAAAGUCUCACCAAGUCUACGAGCCGUAACUGAUCUGGGAGGAUGAUCAGUCACACGGGACCUGAGACAAGGUCCAGACUCCUACGGGAGGCAGCAUUGGGGAAUCGUGCACAAUGGGCGAAAGCCUGAUCCAGCCACGCCGCGUGUGUGAAGAAGGUCUUCGGACUGUAAAGCACUUUAAGUCGGGAGGCGUUACCUACAGAAUAAGCACCGGCUAACUUCGUGCCAGCAGCCGCGGUAAUUC